GUUUUUUGUGAUGGGAUUUCAUCUUGGACUUUAUCCACGUUUGGCAGUAGGACCUGAAAAACUCAAAUAAUGGACGACGAGGACUCUGCUUUUUCUUCUGCACAUCCGCCGGGUAAGAUUGCCAUCGCCGAGGCAAUUGCUAUAGUCAGAAUGGUCGGGAGCCGCAACUGCUUCAGCAGCAGUAACGAUUAUGGCAAACGCUUUCCUGGACCCUCGGAAUUGUGCGGAAGUACGGAACCCACGACCCCAUUUAACCCAAAGAAA